UACGGGGGGAGCAAGCGUUGUUCGGAUUUACUGGGCGUAAAGGGCGCGUAGGCGGCGAUUGCAGGUCAGUUGUGAAAUCUCCGGGCUUAACCCGGAAAGGUCAACUGAUACUGCAGGGCUAGAGUGCAGAAGGGGCAACUGGAAUUCUCGGUGUAGCGGUGAAAUGCGUAGAUAUCGAGAGGAACACCUGCGGCGAAGGCGGGUUGCUGGGCUGACACUGACGCUGAUGCGCGAAAGCCAGGGGAGCGAACGGG
rnacentral:rRNA from 1 species